GACGAACGCUGGCGGCGUGCUUAACACAUGCAAGUCGAACGGAAAGGCCCUGCUUUUGUGGGGUGCUCGAGUGGCGAACGGGUGAGUAACACGUGAGUAACCUGCCCUUGACUUUGGGAUAACUUCAGGAAACUGGGGCUAAUACCGGAUAGGAGCUCCUGCUGCAUGGUGGGGGUUGGAAAGUUUCGGCGGUUGGGGAUGGACUCGCGGCUUAUCAGCUUGUUGGUGGGGUAGUGGCUUACCAAGGCUUUGACGGGUAGCCGGCCUGAGAGGGGGAACGGCCACAUUGGGACUGAGAGACGGCCCAGACGCCAACGGGAGGCAGCAGUGGGAAACAUGGCACAAUGGGCGGAAGCCUGAUGCAGCAACGCCGCGUGCGGAAUGACGGCUUUCGGGUUGUAAACCGCUUUCGCCGGUGACGAAGCGUGAGUGACGGUAAUGGGUAAAGAAGCACCGGCUAACUACGUG
rnacentral:rRNA from 1 species